CACUCGACCUAGCCACUGCAGCACACAGGACCUGGCAAGGUGGUUGAAAACCUCAAGGUCUCCAGGUCUACAGGGCUUUGGUAGUAGGGAGCAUAGUAAAAGUCUGCGAGACGGAAGUAGGCAGGUGUCAACGUCAGGUGUCAACGUCAGGCGUCAACGUCAGGUGUCAACGUCAGGUCGGGUGUCACGUGGAAUUGAAAUGUCACUGGCUUGGAAAAAGCUCGCGUAGUGUCUGAAGUAGGGUUUCUUAACCUGUGGUCCAUGGACCCCUUUGGUGUCCGUGGGGGGCUUCAGGGGGUCCGUGAAACAGGCGCAUAAAAAUGUUCAUGUGCUUAUGUGCAUUUUUCUGAGGAGGGGUCCGUAGCUUUCACCAGAUUCUCAAAGGGGUCCAUGACUGAAAAAAGGUUAAGAACCACAGGUCUGAAGAAAGCCCGAGUCGAGCUGGGAAUCUCGAGAGCGAGACCCUGUGUGUAUCAUUGCUUGCAAGAAAAGCUAUAAACUAAACAGGAUGCACCUGCAUAAAGAGCGUCGCCCGCCGCGCAGCAGCGUCCGUCACUUCAAAAAUAAAUGCGGCCACGCAUGUAACGCAGCAGCAACCGGAAACCGAGACCCACUAUGCUACUAAAUUCAGCAUUGAGGGGGAGGCUUGCUGGGCCACUUCACUCGCCAUUGAGGGAAAGGGGUGGGCAGCAUCGCUGGGCCACUUCACUCGCCAUUGAGGGAAAGGGGUGGGCAGCAUCGCCCGCGGUGCAUGCAUGUGUGGCAGUGGUGGAUCCAGAGGGGGGGGGGGUCACAGGGGGCGGUCGCCCCCUCCCCUAGAAUUCACUUCUGGAUCCUCCACUGUGUUGCAUGAGUAUUUACCAUGCUAGUGAGAGUGGAGUAGAGCCCCCCACCCCAUUGCUAACCUCAUGCGUAGUGAAACAUGCAUAAGCCAAUCCGUGCAGUGUUAAGGGUUACUCGUGGCAUGGUGUCUGACUCUAAUAAAUGCAUCUUCGUCGCCUGGAGGAACUCAUUUAUGUUUUCACACGUGCCAAACGAUGGUCGGCUUAUCUGUCUUUGACAUAACAUUGUCAGGAGUGAGUAAUAAUAGAAUCUGUUAUUAUUCGCGCGUGAUAUUUGUCGUGAUAUAUGUUAUCGAUCUAUUUAUUAAAUAAAUACAAGUUCUUCAUGAA